rnacentral:tRNA from 1 species
GGGCCCAUAGCUUAGCCUGGCUGGAGCACCGGUCUUAUAAGCCGGGGGUCAGGGGUUCAAAUCCCCUUGGGCCCA